rnacentral:rRNA from 1 species
UAAACUCCUGUUGUUGAGGAAGAUAAUGACGGUACUCAACAAGGAAGUGACGGCUAACUACGUGCCAGCAGCCGCGGUAAAACGUAGGUCACAAGCGUUGUCCGGAAUUACUGGGUGUAAAGGGAGCGCAGGCGGGAAGACAAGUUGGAAGUGAAAUCCAUGGGCUCAACCCAUGAACUGCUUUCAAAACUGUUUUUCUUGAGUAGUGCAGAGGUAGGCGGAAUUCCCGGUGUAGCGGUGGAAUGCGUAGAUAUCGGGAGGAACACCAGUGGCGAAGGCGGCCUACUGGGCACCAACUGACGCUGAGGCUCGAAAGUGUGGGUAGCAAACAGGAUUAGAUACCCUGGUAGUCCACACUGUAAACGAUGAUUACUAGGUGUUGGAGGAUUGACCCCUUCAGUGCCGCAGUUAACACAAUAAGUAAUCCACCUGGGGAGUACGACCGCAAGGUUGAAACUCAAAGGAAUUGACGGGGGCCCGCACAAGCAGUGGAGUAUGUGGUUUAAUUCGACGCAACGCGAAGAACCUUACCAAGUCUUGACAUCCUGCGACGGUGCUGGAAACAGUAYUUUCCUUCGGGACGCAGAGACAGGUGGUGCAUGGUUGUCGUCAGCUCGUGUCGUGAGAUGUUGGGUUAAGUCCCGCAACGAGCGCAACCCUUAUGGUCAGUUACUACGCAAGAGGACUCUGGCCAGACUGCCGUUGACAAA